GGCGGCGUAUUGUAAUGGCUAACACAUCAUUCCGAUCUAGUGAAGAUGCUGGUUCGCUCCCGGCCGCCGAUU
rnacentral:tRNA from 1 species